ACUAAGCGUACACGGUGGAUGCCCUGGCAGUCAGAGGCGAUGAAGGACGUGCUAAUCUGCGAUAAGCGUCGGUAAGGUGAUAUGAACCGUUAUAACCGGCGAUUUCCGAAUGGGGAAACCCAGUGUGUUUCGACACACUAUCAUUAACUGAAUCCAUAGGUUAAUGAGGCGAACCGGGGGAACUGAAACAUCUAAGUACCCCGAGGAAAAGAAAUCAACCGAGAUUCCCCCAGUAGCGGCGAGCGAACGGGGAGCAGCCCAGAGCCUGAAUCAGUGUGUGUGUUAGUGGAAGCGUCUGGAAAGGCGCGCGAUACAGGGUGACAGCCCCGUACACAAAAAUGCACAUGCUGUGAGCUCGAUGAGUAGGGCGGGACACGUGGUAUCCUGUCUGAAUAUGGGGGGACCAUCCUCCAAGGCUAAAUACUCCUGACUGACCGAUAGUGAACCAGUACCGUGAGGGAAAGGCGAAAAGAACCCCGGCGAGGGGAGUGAAAAAGAACCUGAAACCGUGUACGUACAAGCAGUGGGAGCACGCUUAGGCGUGUGACUGCGUACCUUUUGUAUAAUGGGUCAGCGACUUAUAUUCUGUAGCAAGGUUAACCGAAUAGGGGAGCCGAAGGGAAACCGAGUCUUAACUGGGCGUUAAGUUGCAGGGUAUAGACCCGAAACCCGGUGAUCUAGCCAUGGGCAGGUUGAAGGUUGGGUAACACUAACUGGAGGACCGAACCGACUAAUGUUGAAAAAUUAGCGGAUGACUUGUGGCUGGGGGUGAAAGGCCAAUCAAACCGGGAGAUAGCUGGUUCUCCCCGAAAGCUAUUUAGGUAGCGCCUCGUGAAUUCAUCUCCGGGGGUAGAGCACUGUUUCGGCAAGGGGGUCAUCCCGACUUACCAACCCGAUGCAAACUGCGAAUACCGGAGAAUGUUAUCACGGGAGACACACGGCGGGUGCUAACGUCCGUCGUGAAGAGGGAAACAACCCAGACCGCCAGCUAAGGUCCCAAAGUCAUGGUUAAGUGGGAAACGAUGUGGGAAGGCCCAGACAGCCAGGAUGUUGGCUUAGAAGCAGCCAUCAUUUAAAGAAAGCGUAAUAGCUCACUGGUCGAGUCGGCCUGCGCGGAAGAUGUAACGGGGCUAAACCAUGCACCGAAGCUGCGGCAGCGACGCUUAUGCGUUGUUGGGUAGGGGAGCGUUCUGUAAGCCUGCGAAGGUGUGCUGUGAGGCAUGCUGGAGGUAUCAGAAGUGCGAAUGCUGACAUAAGUAACGAUAAAGCGGGUGAAAAGCCCGCUCGCCGGAAGACCAAGGGUUCCUGUCCAACGUUAAUCGGGGCAGGGUGAGUCGACCCCUAAGGCGAGGCCGAAAGGCGUAGUCGAUGGGAAACAGGUUAAUAUUCCUGUACUUGGUGUUACUGCGAAGGGGGGACGGAGAAGGCUAUGUUGGCCGGGCGACGGUUGUCCCGGUUUAAGCGUGUAGGCUGGUUUUCCAGGCAAAUCCGGAAAAUCAAGGCUGAGGCGUGAUGACGAGGCACUACGGUGCUGAAGCAACAAAUGCCCUGCUUCCAGGAAAAGCCUCUAAGCAUCAGGUAACAUCAAAUCGUACCCCAAACCGACACAGGUGGUCAGGUAGAGAAUACCAAGGCGCUUGAGAGAACUCGGGUGAAGGAACUAGGCAAAAUGGUGCCGUAACUUCGGGAGAAGGCACGCUGAUAUGUAGGUGAAGCGACUUGCUCGUGGAGCUGAAAUCAGUCGAAGAUACCAGCUGGCUGCAACUGUUUAUUAAAAACACAGCACUGUGCAAACACGAAAGUGGACGUAUACGGUGUGACGCCUGCCCGGUGCCGGAAGGUUAAUUGAUGGGGUUAGCGCAAGCGAAGCUCUUGAUCGAAGCCCCGGUAAACGGCGGCCGUAACUAUAACGGUCCUAAGGUAGCGAAAUUCCUUGUCGGGUAAGUUCCGACCUGCACGAAUGGCGUAAUGAUGGCCAGGCUGUCUCCACCCGAGACUCAGUGAAAUUGAACUCGCUGUGAAGAUGCAGUGUACCCGCGGCAAGACGGAAAGACCCCGUGAACCUUUACUAUAGCUUGACACUGAACAUUGAGCCUUGAUGUGUAGGAUAGGUGGGAGGCUUAGAAGUGUGGACGCCAGUCUGCAUGGAGCCGACCUUGAAAUACCACCCUUUAAUGUUUGAUGUUCUAACGUUGACCCGUAAUCCGGGUUGCGGACAGUGUCUGGUGGGUAGUUUGACUGGGGCGGUCUCCUCCUAAAGAGUAACGGAGGAGCACGAAGGUUGGCUAAUCCUGGUCGGACAUCAGGAGGUUAGUGCAAUGGCAUAAGCCAGCUUGACUGCGAGCGUGACGGCGCGAGCAGGUGCGAAAGCAGGUCAUAGUGAUCCGGUGGUUCUGAAUGGAAGGGCCAUCGCUCAACGGAUAAAAGGUACUCCGGGGAUAACAGGCUGAUACCGCCCAAGAGUUCAUAUCGACGGCGGUGUUUGGCACCUCGAUGUCGGCUCAUCACAUCCUGGGGCUGAAGUAGGUCCCAAGGGUAUGGCUGUUCGCCAUUUAAAGUGGUACGCGAGCUGGGUUUAGAACGUCGUGAGACAGUUCGGUCCCUAUCUGCCGUGGGCGCUGGAGAACUGAGGGGGGCUGCUCCUAGUACGAGAGGACCGGAGUGGACGCAUCACUGGUGUUCGGGUUGUCAUGCCAAUGGCACUGCCCGGUAGCUAAAUGCGGAAGAGAUAAGUGCUGAAAGCAUCUAAGCACGAAACUUGCCCCGAGAUGAGUUCUCCCUGACCCUUUAAGGGUCCUGAAGGAACGUUGAAGACGACGACGUUGAUAGGCCGGGUGUGUAAGCGCAGCGAUGCGUUGAGCUAACCGGUACUAAUGAACCGUGAGGCUUAACC
rnacentral:rRNA from 3 species